GACGAACGCUGGCGGCGUGCUUAACACAUGCAAGUCGAGCGGUAAGGCCCUUUCGGGGGUACACGAGCGGCGAACGGGUGAGUAACACGUGGGUGACCUGCCCUCAGUUCUGGGAUAAGCCUGGGAAACCGGGUCUAAUACUGGAUAUGACCUCAUGACGCAUGUUGUGGGGUGGAAAGCCUCGUGCGACUGAGGAUGGGCCCGCGGCCUAUCAGCUUGUUGGUGGGGUGAUGGCCUACCAAGGCGACGACGGGUAGCCGGCCUGAGAGGGCGACCGGCCACACUGGGACUGAGACACGGCCCAGACUCCUACGGGAGGCGAGCAGGUGGGGAAUCUUGCGCAAUGGGCGAAAGCCUGACGCAGCGACGCCGCGUGAGGGAUGACGGCCUGGUU
rnacentral:rRNA from 1 species